rnacentral:rRNA from 1 species
UACGGCGUGUGCGAGCGUUGUCCGGCAUCACUGGGCGUAAAGGGCGCGUAGGUGGCGCGGGAAGUCAACGGUGAAAGUUCGGGGCUCAACCCUGAAUCGGCCGUCGAUACUCCCGGGCUCGAGCACUGUAGAGGCAGAUGGAAUUCCGGGUGUAGCGGUGGAAUGCGUAGAGAUCCGGAAGAACACCGGUGGCGAAGGCGGUCUGCUGGGCAGUUGCUGACACUGAUGCGCGACAGCGUGGGGAGCAAACAGG